CCUACGGGUGGCUGCAGUGGGGGAUAUUGCACAAUGGAGGGAACUCUGAUGCAGCGACGCCGCGUGAGGGAAGAAGGUUUUCGGAUUGUAAACCUCUGUCUUCGGUGAGGAAACGAGACGGUAGCCAAGGCGGAAGCCACGGCUAACUACGUGCCAGCAGCCGCGGUAAUACGUAGGUGGGAAGCUUUGUCCGGAAUUACUGGGUGUAACGGGAGCGUUAGCGGGAAAGCAGGUUGAAUGUUUAAGGUACGGGCUCAACCUGUACUAGCGUUCAAAACUGUUUUUCUUGAGUGGAGUAGAGGUAAGCGGAAUUCCUAGUGUAGCGGUGAAAUGCGUAAAUAUUAGGAGGAACACCAGUGGCGAAGGCGGCUUACUGGGCUUUAACUGACGCUGAUGCUCGAAAGCGUGGGUAGCAAACAGGAUUAGAUACCCCUGUAGUC
rnacentral:rRNA from 1 species